rnacentral:rRNA from 1 species
UACGGGGGGGGCAAGCGUUGUUCGGAAUUACUGGGCGUAAAGGGCUUGUAGGUGGCCAACUAAGUCAGACGUGAAAUCCCUCAGCUUAACUGGGGAACUGCGUCUGAUACUGGCGAGCUUGAGUGCAGGAGAGGAACGCAGAAUUCCAGGUGUAGCGGUGAAAUGCGUAGAUAUCUGGAGGAACACCGGUGGCGAAGGCGGAUCUCUGGGCCUUACCUGACGCUCAAGUGUGAAAGCUAGGGGAGCGAACAGG